rnacentral:tRNA from 6 species
GGCUUGGUGGCGAAGAGGAAACGCAGGUGUCUGCAAAACACCUAUUGCAGGGGUUCGAUUCCCCUCCAAGCCUCAA